rnacentral:misc_RNA from 1 species
ACGAACUCCAUAGCAGAUGCCAACAACAAUUGAACCAAUGUAUAGAGAACCAGGCAUUGCGAUGGCCAUGAGAAUAUCCCCACCAGCCAUUAAAAUUUGAGAUGCUGCAUUCCAAAGAGGCCUCGGUGUUCCAGCUUUCUUGAUGAAGAACUCUGAGACAGAGCCCGAACCAAUCCUUCCAAAAAAUCCCCAAAUGCUUGUAAGAGAGACGAAAAUCGAAACGUCAGCGUAUCCAAGAGCCAAACCUAUCUGUCCCAUGUUGUUCAUCACAGAGUACCCACUCCACAAAGAAAUGAAACAAAUAAAAUCCAAAAAUCCAACUUCAUCAUCGCUUCGAAAAUCGUGUGAUCUUCGCCGAUCACCGGCUUCCUUUAUCUCGGCCACUUCAUCCGUCGGCGGUUGAGUAGCAACUGACACUGCAGCCGCCGCCUCUGCCGGUUUUUCUUGAAUCUCCCCCUGGAUUUCUCCACUCAGCAAUGGCUCAUCAAUCUGUUCUUCAACGUCAGCCGGUUUAUUCUUCAGGCGAUUCAGAUUCCAGCUCUUUACAAAAGAGUAAAAUGGAACUGCUAAUGGAGAAGCUAGCAGAACUAGCAAUAUAAUUGAAAACGCUAAAGAAAGAACACGGCUAGGAUUGCUGACAAAGUCAAAUGCUAACAAAUAAACUGCAACAACAAUGGCCACAACGUUAAAGACUGAGAAAUAUUUGAAUUCUUCUUUUUCUUCUUCGGCAGUGGCAGCCGGAGGGAUCUCACGGAGGAAGAGGAUGGCGGUGAGGCAGACGGCGAAGGGAAUAAUUGCCAGCAUAAGAAGGAAGCUAGAAGGGUUGUCGGAGAAGAGAGCAGAGCAGAGGUCAGUGAAGAUGGCAGUGCUCAGUCCCACAUAACCUUUCAAGAUGCCGGAGACAGGGCCUCUGUUUCGCCGGAAGUUGCGGAUGCAGGUUACUAGAACCGCCGUGUUCAUCCAAGUAGUACUGUUGCCUCCCAAACAGAGGAAUAUGCACAUCUGCCAGUAAGCAAGAGGUUGAAUUCGCCUACUAACAACAAGCCAUUGAGCACCAUAACCAAUAAGACCUUCGAGUGAACCAAUAAGAAGAAGCACCUGAGUAGGCAAGCGGUCAGAGGCAAGACCAGCAAGGAG